rnacentral:lncRNA from 1 species
CACCAAGUGGUCCUGGUGACAGGGCUGGAGAAGGCAGCUGGCGGCGGAUGCAACCUCCAGCUGGAAAAUCAAUAGGUGAUCAGCGGUCCAGGGGCAGCACUGUUCAUCAGCCUCGAGAAUCUGUGCACUGGUGCAAAGAAAGACGUACAGUUCUAGACGGAUGGCAGAGGACCUAGCGUGGGCAGCCAGCCCUACUCCUCUCUGCUUCCUCGGAGCUGGCCCUGCUAAGAAGACUCUCCAGGGGAAACCAAAGUCCUCAUAAAUGGAAGAUCAACGUGCAAAGUCCACCUGCUCGCCUCUCAGGAGCUCCCAUGCAGUGAUGGAGG